ensembl:lncRNA
CACACACAAGCACACACACACACACACACAUGCACGCAUACACACACACACGAGUCGUUGCACAUUUAACUAUGUAUGCCUCAUAAACACACACACACACGCGCAUGCACACACACACACACACACGCAUGCAUGCAUAUACACACACACACACACACACACACACACACACACACGAGUCGUUGCACAUUUAACUAUGUAUGCUUCACAAACACACACACACACGCAAGCACACACACACGCAUACAUGCAUACACACACACACAAACACGAGUCGUUGCACAUUUAACUAUGUAUGCUUCAAAAAAACACACACACACACACACACGCGCAUACACGCAUGUAAAGAGUGCUCCAGUAGCAAAUACACGCUUUCGUUAAAAAAAAAAAACUGUACUUGAUAGUUUUUUUGGUUCAGUUUUAUACAAAAAUAAAGUUAGCUAUACUAGCCCCGCCCCUAUGGCUAACAUUUUAUCCAUCUAACAAUAACCCUAACCCUAGGUGUGAAUUGUUUGCCCAGCAGCCAGCUCAGACCCCUCCCCUUUCCCAUCGCCCUGCUCCCCAGCAGCUAAACACAGAGUCACGCUACUCUACACACGGAAACCCAACAGCGUCCUGACUCAUCUUCUAACCGACUUGCGUCGAUAAAAUAAUUCAUUUGUCGACCCCGAUCGGAAUCGAAAAUCAGAGCUGCCUUUCGAGCAAAUGAUGAUACACUUCUGACUUCUCUCUCAACACGGUAUUUCCUUUUCUGUUCCCUGCUCGAUCACGUCCACGAUUUCACGUCUGUCUGUUUAAAGCACGAAUAUCAUAAGCAGCCGUGCGACAUCGUCGUGAGGCGAUAAAGGUCAGCCAUCUUACAGCUUAAGUCGUAAUUAAAGCUGUAGACAUGAACACGAGAAUCCUUCGCCUUAACUCUCAGUGCUGUUUAAAAAUACAUAGCAAAGCCUACAAACAAAACAAAAAUGGAUCUGAACAUAAAGCGUUCGUUAUUCAUCCCGUCGUGGAGCCUGUUGUGUAAUUCCGGCACGCUAUCUGAUCCGACGUGACAGCUAGGCGCGAUGCGCCGCCGUUAUUUCGCACGCUCCGCCUGCGUUUUUGUAUUUUUAAUGAGUCUCCUAUUCCCACUGGACGUUUUCCGUGAUAACUUAAUAACCAGCCGUGCUCUAGUGACCCUAAAAGGGGCCCUUUGAAUAAAAAUGAGGUUCCUUAUCUCCUUUGUGUCUGCCUUUUUUCACUCUCUUCAUUAGGACGUACUUCUCUAUGACAACCUAAACAUUCCGAGCCUCAAUUGCUCUCGACCUGUCACAACACGCUCAAAAGAUCUCUCUCUCUCUCUCCCUCUCUCUCUCUCUUGCAAUGCUGAUAACAUCCUCCACACAAAUGAUUUCCUGUCUGUAAUAAAUCUCUAUUACGAUGAUAAUCCAAACCCGAUAUGGAGGGUUUUUCAUCACAUCAGCAUCUCUUUACAGCUUCCUGUUUUCAAAUAGCAUGAGAUAUAAAGAAUGAAACACUCUGUUCCGUGCUUUUAUAAACAAAACAAUCGACAGCAUCAUCAGCGCAUAGCUGUCGACUAAGGAAAGCAUCUGGACAUGUUUUAUAAUCCCAGUGCAUUUAGUGGCUGUUGAGGCAAGGGCUCCACAGAGAUAAAUAUCACCCUGAGACGAGUAAAUCAGUAUGCCUAAUAAAACGACCACUGUGUAUAUUCCAGAUGUGAAAGAAUUUAAACGGACUAUGCAGCCAAGAGAGAAAUCCACACUCUGCAACCUGUCUCAUGAUUUAAAAUCGACGUGUUUGCUUUUGCGUAACAAGGCUAACGUAGCGAACAAGUUAGCAACGCCACCAGUUUUAACGUUACACAAGCUGCCCGGUGAGAAAAAAAAAAGAAACACUGAGCGAAUAGUAAAUACAAAAAUAUCUUGACGCACAUGUACUGAGUAGAAUCUGCAGUUUCCUGGCUUGUUCUGUCAAAAGCCUGAGUGGGGACAUUUCCUGGAACAAGUGAGGAAUGCAAACACGGAAUAAAAUCACUUUCGGCUGCGGGUCUAUAAAUUAUCACUCGGUGUUGAGCGUUUUAACAGAGACAGUCUCUCAAACACAGCAGGCAGAGGGAAUUUACUGUUUCCCACACACACUCGUACACACACUUACGUACUGGUACACACAGUACUCGUACACGUUCCUGCACACUUACACACUCGUACACACUUGUACACACGGAUACACACUCGUACACACUUGUACACACGGAUACACACUCGUACAUACUGAUACACACUCGUACACACUCGUACACACUUGUACACAUGGAUACACACUCGUACACACUUGUACACACCCAUACACUCUUGUACAUACUGGUACACACUCACAACUCACAACUCACACAAAUGUGAUAAAGGCUCACAUGUGGCGCAACAGAAAAGCAUUCAGGAGUCAAGGGAGCCAAAUUUGCGUAUGUAUGCAGAAGAGGGCAGAUAGCGCUUUCCGCCGAGUGUGUUAUGCUGCCCAGUGAUGCAGCAUGAGCAGCUGUUCGAAAAGAUACGGACGUUGCCCCAGCCUUCCUAGAUGCUAGCUGUUGUGUUAUAGCCGAGAAUUACCUAGAACUAAUUACCUAGAAAGCGGCUGAUGAAUCACUGUUCAAACGCUAGCUACAGAACGAGCUGUUAUGUCUUUAUGGGCGUGGCCUAAUAUUCUAAUGAGCACACUUGACUGACCGCCAUCUGUCUACGCCACUCAAGCAGAACUAAACACAACAGCACAGACAAACUACGCUAUUAUAGAGUUAAACAUUAGGCUAAACUCAUUAGCAUGUUUUAAGAUUAAGCAUGACUGGCUAAAAACAUUUGACAUUAAGUCCAUUAGGCUUCUGUUAGGACUCAAAUAAAGAGAG